AUGGAGACAGUGAAGAAAGAAGAGCAGUUGUUGCAGGAGCCUUCUGAUAAUAAUAAUAAGAGACAGGUUGCUGAUGAGGAUUUCUUCACCUUCCUGUGCCACAUAGGGUGCAUCCACACUCUGACUACACUCACUUCCAGUCCACAGGUGGCUGUCAAGACUGAGCUGUGUAUAUUACAGGGAGUAUCAAAGAAGACAUCAAUCAAACGAGAUCAUUUUACUUUGACCAUUAAGCAAUUGUUGUUGUGUAAGUUGGUAGGCAUACCAGUGUCCCUCCCUCUUGCAAACUAG
ensembl:lncRNA